GUACACGCUGUGACUAGCAUAUCAAUAAGCGGAGGAAAAGAAACUAACAAGGAUUCCCCUAGUAACGGCGAGUGAAGCGGGAAGAGCUCAAAUUUGAAAUCUUAAAGGGUUUCCCUUUACGAAUUGUAGUUUAAAGAAGUGUUUUCUGUUGAGGUUUUGGUAAAAGUUCUUUGGAAUAGGACAUCAUAGAGGGUGAGAAUCCCGUAUUUGACCUUUACUUUCAACUUUGUGAUACACUUUCAAAGAGUCGGAUUGUUUGGGAAUGCAGUCCAAAAUGGGUGGUAAAUUUCAUCUAAAGCUAAAUAUUGGCGAGAGACCGAUAGCGAACAAGUACCGUGAGGGAAAGAUGAAAAGAACUUUGAAAAGAGAGUUAAACAGUACGUGAAAUUGUCAAAAGGGAAGCGUUCGACACCAGUGUUGUUUUUCUGAAAAUCAAUUAAAGAACUGUUUAUGCUAAGUUGUUUAGACUUUAUCAGCUAACUGUUUAGUUUUGAGCUUUUCUUUAAUGCACUUUUCAGUUAACAAGUCAACAUCAAUUUCUUUUGCUGUAAAAAAGCUUGAGGAAGGUGGCUUGAGAUUCGUCUUAAGUGUUUAUAGCCUCUUGCCUAUGCAGUCGGAGAGAUUGAGGUCUGCAGCGUAGAUCCUUCGGGGCUAAAUGCAUUUGUGCUAAGUUAUAGCAUUUUAUAGACAACUUGUUGACUAUGAUUUGUCUUGUAGCUUACUCGCUUAUGUUAUUUUACCUACGCUUAGGAUGUUGACGAGACUGUCGAUCUC
rnacentral:rRNA from 1 species